CUCACUGCCCCCCGGGUUUUUUUGGGAGGCACAGCCUUCCCAUUCGCUGCCGCCUGCCAUUUGACCGCAGAUAUGACUAUAUAUGGGAUGCGAUGGGCGAGAAUAGCAGAAAUUUGGCAGUAGAAACAUGACUGCAAGAGCAUUGGGACUAGAUAAACUUCUGCUCUCCUGUCUUCACGAAAAAACCAUUUACUCCAGAAAUAGCUGAAAACCUGUCUGUUGGAAGAGUUAUGAUGACUGGGGAAAGAUGACAACCUUCAGGACAUUAUGGGGUGCUUAAUUUACUUCACAUGUGGGCACAGGAAGCAGUCACUGUUGUGAGUACACAACACAUAACCAAGAUGAAAUUUUCCAGAAGUUCCCAAAGAAGCCCUCAACUGCUAUUGAGAGUCAAUAGGCAUAACCAGUCAUCGGCUUUUAUUGAGUGGAAGAGAAAAAUGAGGAAGAAGAAACCUAGAACUACAUUUUUUAUCUGUCCCUAUCACUGGCUGUGAUAAAGCACAAGAACGUAACAACACAGAACAGAGAAGAAGAAGUCUGAUGAAGAGAGGCAGAAUGGGGGCAAAAUAGGAGGCAGAGUCCUGUGGCCCUUGUUCAUUCUCUAAAUAUUCCCUCUGAAACCAGAACUAUGUCAGGAAUCUCAGCUUUCAAAAACAAAGUCUCUUUCCUACACUUAAAAAUGGCCUGACAGAUUAAAUUCAAACGUAA